AGCUUUGCGCAGUGGCAGUAUCGUAGCCAAUGAGGUUUAUCCGAGGCGCGAUUAUUGCUAAUUAAAUUUCCAUUUAUUUAUUUUUUACAGAGUUGAAAAUCU
rnacentral:snRNA from 1 species